rnacentral:rRNA from 1 species
GUUAUAUGGUCAAGCGAAUAAGCGCACACGGUGGAUGCCUUGGCGGUCAGAGGCGAUGAAGGACGUGGCAGCCUGCGAAAAGUAUCGGGGAGCUGGCAACAAGCUUUGAUCCGGUAAUGUCCGAAUGGGGAAACCCACCCGCUUGCGGGUAUCCUGCAGUGAAUACAUAGCUGCUGGAAGCGAACCUGGUGAACUGAAAUAUCUAAGUAACCAGAGGAAAAGAAAUCAACCGAGAUUCCGUAAGUAGCGACGAGCGAACGCGGACUAGCCCUUAAGCUGAUUUGGUUCUAGGAAAACGCUCUGGAAAGAGCGGCCAUAGAAGGUGAUAGCCCUGUAUCUGAAAGGGCCAUUUCAGUGAAGACGAGUAGGGCGGGGCACGUGAAACCCUGUCUGAACAUGGGGGGACCAUCCUCCAAGGCUAAAUACUACUGACCGACCGAUAGUGAACCAGUACCGUGAGGGAAAGGCGAAAAGAACCCCGGAGAGGGGAGUGAAAUAGAACCUGAAACCGUGUGCGUACAAGCAGUAGGAGCUCCGCAAGGAGUGACUGCGUACCUUUUGUAUAAUGGGUCAGCGACUUACUGUUCGUGGCAAGCUUAACCGUAUAGGGGAGGCGAAGGGAAACCGAGUCUGAUAAGGGCGCAUAGUCGCGGGCAGUAGACCCGAAACCGGGUGAUCUAGUCAUGCCCAGGGUGAAGGUGCGGUAACACGCACUGGAGGCCCGAACCCACUCCCGUUGCAAAGGUAGGGGAUGAGGUGUGAUUAGGAGUGAAAAGCUAAUCGAACCCGGAGAUAGCUGGUUCUCCUCGAAAGCUAUUUAGGUAGCGCCUCAUAUGUAUCCUCUCGGGGGUAGAGCACUGUUAUGGCUAGGGGGUCAUCGCGACUUACCAAACCAUUGCAAACUCCGAAUACCGAGACGGACUGUAUGGGAGACACACGGCGGGUGCUAACGUCCGUCGUGAAAAGGGAAACAACCCAGACCCACAGCUAAGGUCCCAAAUUCACUGCUAAGUGGAAAACCAUGUGGAAAGGCACAGACAGCCAGGAGGUUGGCUUAGAAGCAGCCACCCUUUAAAGAAAGCGUAAUAGCUCACUGGUCGAGUCGGUCUGCGGGGAAGAUUUAACGGGGCUAAGCAGUGAACCGAAGCUUGGGGUGCAUAACUUUGUUAUGCGCGGUAGAGGAGCGUUCCGUAAGCCGUUGAAGGUGGAUUGAGAAGUCUGCUGGAGGUAUCGGAAGUGCGAAUGCUGACAUGAGUAACGAUAAUGCGGGUGAAAAACCCGCACGCCGAAAGCCCAAGGUUUCCUUGCGCAACGUUAAUCGGCGCAGGGUGAGUCGGCCCCUAAGGCGAGGACGAAAGUCGUAGUCGAUGGGAAGCAGGUUAAUAUUCCUGCACCUCGCGUAAGUGCGAUGGAGGGACGGAGAAGGUUAGGUGUACCAGGCGUUGGUUGUCCUGGGGAAAGGCGGUAGGUUUGGAUCUUUGGCAAAUCCGGGAUCCUCUAAGACCGAGCACCGAGACGAGCCUUUAUGGCGAAGUCACUGAUACCACGCUUCCAGGAAAAGCUCCUAAGCUUCAGCUUACGCAGACCGUACCGUAAACCGACACAGGUGGGUAGGAUGAGAAUUCUCAGGCGCUUGAGAGAACUCGGGUGAAGGAACUAGGCAACAUGGCACCGUAACUUCGGGAGAAGGUGCACCCUUUUUGGUGGCUCGUGCGAGCUAUAGCUGAAGAGGGUCGCAGUAACCAGGCCGCUGCGACUGUUUAUCAAAAACACAGCACUCUGCAAACACGAAAGUGGACGUAUAGGGUGUGACGCCUGCCCGGUGCUGGAAGGUUAAUUGAUGGGGUCAGCCGCAAGGCGAAGCUCUUGAUCGAAGCCCCAGUAAACGGCGGCCGUAACUAUAACGGUCCUAAGGUAGCGAAAUUCCUUGUCGGGUAAGUUCCGACCUGCACGAAUGGCGUAACGACAGCGGCGCUGUCUCCACCCGAGACUCAGUGAAAUUGAAAUCGCUGUGAAGAUGCAGCGUUCCCGUGGCAAGACGGAAAGACCCCGUGAACCUUUACUAUAGCUUUACACUGAACGUUGAGUUCGUCUGUGUAGGAUAGGUGGGAGGCUAUGAAACUGUGGCGCUAGCUGCAGUGGAGCCAUCCUUGAAAUACCACCCUGUCGUGCUUGACGUUCUAACCUGGGCCCAUUAUCUGGGUCGGGGACCGUGUAUGGUGGGUAGUUUGACUGGGGCGGUCUCCUCCUAAAGAGUAACGGAGGAGCUCGAAGGUACGCUCAGCGCGGUCGGACAUCGCGCACUGUGUGCAAAGGCAUAAGCGUGCUUGACUGCAAGAUCGACGGAUCAAGCAGGUAGGAAACUAGGACUUAGUGAUCCGGUGGUUCUGUAUGGAAGGGCCAUCGCUCAACGGAUAAAAGGUACUCCGGGGAUAACAGGCUGAUACCGCCCAAGAGUUCAUAUCGACGGCGGUGUUUGGCACCUCGAUGUCGGCUCAUCACAUCCUGGGGCUGUAGUCGGUCCCAAGGGUAUGGCUGUUCGCCAUUUAAAGUGGUACGCGAGCUGGGUUCAGAACGUCGUGAGACAGUUCGGUCCCUAUCUGCCAUGGGCGUUGGAGAUUUGAGAGGGGCUGCUCCUAGUACGAGAGGACCGGAGUGGACGAACCUCUGGUGUUCCGGUUGUCACGCCAGUGGCAUUGCCGGGUAGCUAUGUUCGGAAGCGAUAACCGCUGAAAGCAUCUAAGCGGGAAGCGCGCCUCAAGAUGAGAUCUCCCGGGGCACAAGCCCCCUGAAGGAACCAUGUAGACUACGUGGUUGAUAGGUCAGGUGUGUAAGUACAGCAAUGUAUUGAGCUAACUGAUACUAAUGAUCCGWGMGGCUUGACCAUAUAACCU